rnacentral:rRNA from 1 species
UACGAAGGGGGCUAGCGUUGUUCGGAAUUAUUGGGCGUAAAGAGCUCGUAGGCGGCUUGUCACGUCGGGUGUGAAAGCCCGGGGCUUAACCCCGGGUCUGCAUUCGAUACGGGCUAGCUAGAGUGUGGUAGGGGAGAUCGGAAUUCCUGGUGUAGCGGUGAAAUGCGCAGAUAUCAGGAGGAACACCGGUGGCGAAGGCGGGUCUCUGGGCAAUUCCUGACGCUGAGGCGCGAAAGCGUGGGGAGCAAACGGG